rnacentral:rRNA from 1 species
UACGUAGGUCCCGAGCGUUGUCCGGAUUUAUUGGGCGUAAAGCGAGCGCAGGUGGUUUAUUAAGUCUGGUGUAAAAGGCAGUGGCUUAACCAUUGUAUGCAUUGGAAACUGGUAGACUUGAGUGCAGGAGAGGAGAGUGGAAUUCCAUGUGUAGCGGUGAAAUGCGUAGAUAUAUGGAGGAACACCGGUGGCGAAAGCGGCUCUCUGGCCUGUAACUGACACUGAGGCUCGAGAGCGUGGGGAGCAAACAGG